CCUACGGGCGGCAGCAGUGGGGAAUAUUGCACAAUGGGGGAAACCCUGAUGCAGCGACGCCGCGUGAGUGAAGAAGGAUUUCGGUAUGGAAAGCUCUUUCAGCAGGGAAGAAAAUGACGGUACCUGACCCAGAAGCCCCGGCUAACUACGUGCCAGCAUCCGCGGUAAUCCGUCGGGGGCAAGCGUUAUCCGGAGUUACUGGGUGUAAAGGGAGCGUAGACGGGAGGGCAAGUCUGGAGGGAAAGGCGGGGGCUCAACCCCCGGACUGCUCUGGAAACUGGCAGGCUGGAGUGCAGGAGAGGUAAGUGGAAUUCCUAGUGUAGCGGUGAAAUGCGUAGAUAUGAGGAGGAACACCAGUGGCGAAGGCGGCUUACUGGACUGUAACUGACGUUGAGGCUCGAAAGCGUGGGGAGCAAACAGGAUUAGAUACCCCUGUAGUC
rnacentral:rRNA from 1 species